GACGAACGCUGGCGGCGUGCUUAACACAUGCAAGUCGAACGGAAAGGCCCUGCUUUUGUGGGGUGCUCGAGUGGCGAACGGGUGAGUAACACGUAAGUAACCUGCCCUUGACUUUGGGAUAACUUCAGGAAACUGGGGCUAAUACCGGAUAGGAGCUCCUGCUGCAUGGUGGGGGUUGGAAAGUUUCGGCGGUUGGGGAUGGACUCGCGGCUUAUCAGCUUGUUGGUGGGGUAGUGGCUUACCAAGGCUUUGACGGGUAGCCGGCCUGAGAGGGUGACCGGCCACAUUGGGACUGAGAUACGGCACAGACUCCUACGGGAGGCAGCAGUGGGGAAUAUUGCACAAUGGGCGGAAGCCUGAUGCAGCAACGCCGCGUGCGGGAUGACGGCCUUCGGGUUGUAAACCGCUUUCGCCUGUGACGAAGCGUGAGUGACGGUAAUGGGUAAAGAAGCACCGGCUAACUACGUG
rnacentral:rRNA from 1 species